ensembl:lncRNA
UGAAACUCCAAUUCUUUGGCCUCCUGAUGUAAAGAACUGCUGCUACUGCUGCUGCUGCUGCUACUGCUGCUGCUACAAAGUCACUUCAGUCGUGUCCGACUCUGUGCGACCCCAUAGAUGGCAGCCCACCAGGCCUCCCCCUUCCCUGGGAUUCUCCAGGCAAGAACACGAGUGGGUUGCCAUUUCCUUCUCCAAUGUAUGCAAGUGAAAAGUGAAAGUGAAGUCACUCAGUUGUGUCCGACUCCUAGCAACCCCAUGGACUGCAGCCUACCAGGCUCCUCCGUCCAUGGGAUUUUCCAGGCAAGAGUUUUGGAGUGGGUUGCCAUUGCCUUCUCCGGAUGUAAAGAACUGACUCAUUGGAAAAGACCCUGAUGCUGGAAAAGAUUGAAGACCUGCUGACAGAUUAUCAAAAUAUAUGAAUCAAAACCUGACAGUUGGAAGAGAAUAACAGACAAUUCUACAGUAACAGUUGGAAACUGCUGGGCUCAGAAAUUGAAGAGGAGGGAAAGGUUCCUGAUUAAUUUCAUGAGACCAGUAUUACUCUAAUAUCAAAUAAAGAGAAAGACACUGCAAAUGAAGAUUGCAGGCCAAUAUACCUUUGGUUCAACGCUGAUGCAAAACUCCUUAAAAGGAGCAUAUUAAAAGGAUUUUACUUCAUGACCAUAAGGGAUCUAUACUGGAAUAUAAGGAUGGUUCAGCAUUGAAAGUCUAUCAAACCUAACAGAAUGAAGGACAAAAACUACACUAUCACCUUAAUUGACAGAAAAUAGUUUGACAUAAUUCAAUAUACUUUCAUGAUAAAAGCAUUCCAUGAACUGGGAAUAGAGGAAACUACCUCAGUAUAAUAAUAUUCUUAAAUGACAAACUCA